rnacentral:rRNA from 1 species
CCAGCAGCCGCGGUAAUACGUAGGUGGCAAGCGUUAUCCGGAAUUAUUGGGCGUAAAGCGCGCGUAGGCGGUUUUUUAAGUCUGAUGUGAAAGCCCACGGCUCAACCGUGGAGGGUCAUUGGAAACUGGAAAACUUGAGUGCAGAAGAGGAAAGUGGAAUUCCAUGUGUAGCGGUGAAAUGCGCAGAGAUAUGGAGGAACACCAGUGGCGAAGGCGACUUUCUGGUCUGUA